rnacentral:lncRNA from 1 species
GAGCUUUACUACAUUGGUCCACCCCCAUAUUGCUCUUGGUUGGUAUGGGCCGGCUGAAGCGGGAGGUAUAAAUGGCUACCGCUUCCCUUUUCCAACUUUUUGCCAGUGACCGCAGAGAGGGAGGACACACGCAGUCAUUUCAAAGGAAUCUCGACCCAAACACGCAUUUAAGAAACAGCGUGCUACGAAACUAUUUUAGCCAGUUCUCUGUCUGGACGGUGAUGUUGAUGCUGUUCUCCCGGUCAGUCACUUGUACCAUGGUCAAUACCUGCCCAAACAUCUCUCACUCUUCAGUGGAGUUCAGUGGUGAAGCUUCGAUUGGUGAGUGACUGUAAGCCGGGGUCCAGUUCAGUUUCCCUCUGGACGGCUGAUGUGUGUUCUGGAGGUGUAUACUGAUGAGAAU